rnacentral:tRNA from 1 species
GCAGUGGUGGUUCCGUGGCAGAAUUCUCGCCUUCCAUGCGGGAGACCUGGGUUCGAUUCCUGGCUGAUGCG